GUGAGGAAUAUUGGUCAAUGGGCGGGAGCCUGAACCAGCCAAGUCGCGUGAAGGAAGAAGGAUCUAUGGUUCGUAAACUUCUUUUGCAGGGGAAUAAAGUGCAGGACGUGUCCUGUUUUGUAUGUACCCUGAGAAUAAGGAUCGGCUAACUCCGUGCCAGCAGCCGCGGUAAUACGGAGGAUCCGAGCGUUAUCCGGAUUUAUUGGGUUUAAAGGGUGCGUAGGUGGUUUGAUAAGUCAGCGGUGAAAGUUUGCAGCUUAACUGUAAAAAUGCCGUUGAAACUGUCGGACUUGAGUGUAAAUGAGGUAGGCGGAAUGCGUGGUGUAGCGGUGAAAUGCAUAGAUAUCACGCAGAACUCCGAUUGCGAAGGCAGCUUACUAAGCUACAACUGAUACUGAAGCACGAAAGCGUGGGGAUCAAACAGGAUUAGAUACCCGUGUAGUCC
rnacentral:rRNA from 1 species